rnacentral:rRNA from 1 species
GAUGAACGCUGGCGGCGUGCCUAAUACAUGCAAGUCGAGCGAACAGACGAGGAUCUUGCUCCUCUGACGUUAGCGGCGGACGGGUGAGUAACACGUGGAUAACCUACCUAUAAGACUGGGAUAACUUCGGGAAACCGGAGCUAAUACCGGAUAAUAUAUUGAACCGCAUGGUUCAAUAGUGAAAGACGGUUUUGCUGUCACUUAUAGAUGGAUCCGCGCCGCAUUAGCUAGUUGGUAAGGUAACGGCUUACCAAGGCGACGAUGCGUAGCCGACCUGAGAGGGUGAUCGGCCACACUGGAACUGAGACACGGUCCAGACUCCUACGGGAGGCAGCAGUAGGGAAUCUUCCGCAAUGGGCGAAAGCCUGACGGAGCAACGCCGCGUGAGUGAUGAAGGUCUUCGGAUCGUAAAACUCUGUUAUUAGGGAAGAACAAAUGUGUAAGUAACUAUGCACGUCUUGACGGUACCUACUCAGAAAGCAACGGCUAACUACGUG